rnacentral:misc_RNA from 1 species
GCCAAACAGACGAGAGAGGGCUUCCGGACGGAAACGUUUGGGGGCCUUUUCUUUUGCCGCUAUGAAUCCUUCUUCGU